ACAUUGGCAAUAAGUAUCCUUUGACCUGUGGUUUGUGUCUUGUUCGUGGCAUAGGCAGGAAUAAGUCAAAGCUAAGAAUGAAGGAGGAAAGCGGAAGAAGGAGAAAGAAACUGGGACAUUUGAAAAGCAGUUGAUGGAAGUGAGACAGCAAAGGAUUAUCCAGGACUGUUCAAGGCAAAUCAGGACAGUUAGAAGAUAUAGAAACCAAAAUAAGUAGCCAUUUGAAUAAAUUCUGAGUUCUAUUUGCGUACUUUUUAAAGGCAGGGGUGAGUAAAAUGAAGUCUGCAAGAAUCUUUGUGGAGCUCAAUCCUCACAGUCCUCAUGUGUUGUAGUUAAUUAUUGUAUCCUGGUGCAUAAGAAGUCAUCCAUGAGUUAUUUUGCCACCUCAGGCCUGUUUAAAAUCUGAAAUUGCUUUUAAUUUUUUUAAAAAGGCGACUGAUCAAUUGUUAGAAGCAGAUGGCCACCUCUACUGUUUCUGGAGUCACCAGCGAGUAUUAUCAUUACAUUAUCUUCUGGAAGGAAGAGUACUGUCAGGAAAACCAAUUUCAAGCCCUGGACUGCAAUGAAAAUUUAUCAUGAACAGCAGGAGCCCUUCAGAACUGGUGCAUGAUAGUCAACGUGACUGACAAGUGUGACAAUUAGUAUCUCAGGAACUGUGACAAAUCCUUUCUCACACUGUUUUUCCACCUAUGACAACUGGAAACAUCACAAUUCAUGAUGUCUAAAAUGUUAUUAUCUUCAAGGGUGGCUUCCUUGCUUCUGGGAGAUAAUGAAAAAGCUGGUGACAUAGCUUCAAGUCCCGCACCAAAAAUCCCUUUUCUUCUAGAAGUUAUGCAUAAAAUUUCCCAAAUCUGAAAUGGCCAUACAUCCAUGUCAAUAUCUUCAGGAAAUGCUAUAUGUAAAAUCCAACACAGAUCUUCUUCUGAAAGAAGUAUUGCAAUGUUUUGGUCCUCCCUUUCACCCACAUCAUGACUCACAAAUGGUAUCAUGUUGAGCAUUUCCCUGCUUUCAUUCACAGCAGCUAAAGUAGUAGAUGAAAGAGUCAGGCGGCUCUCUUAUCAGAAGUUUUUCUAGGAUUCUUGUCUGCCAUCCCAAUGCAGAUUCCAGCUAUACUUCAGAAUUAUAGCAGUUUGAUACCACUUUAACUACUAUAGCCUCAUUCUAGGGAAUCCUCCGUUUUGUAGUUUGUUGUGGCACCAAAGCAAUUUGACAGAGAAGGGAAAACAUCUUGCAAAGCUGCAAAUCCCAGAGUUCCAAAACACUGAUCCAUAACAGUUAAUGUGGUGCCAAACCUCUAUACUUCUGCAGUGUGGACAGGAACGUAGCCAGAAAAAAAUUUCGGGAGGGGUUUUGAAAAUUUCGGGGGGGGGGGGGUUGAACCCCUAGCACAUACCCCUCCCCGCUACAAACCUGUCAAUAUCUGCUUGAGAUAGUGCCUGGAGGGACUCUUAAUGUUUUGCAUCUCAUAGACUUAGCAUGGGGAUUUGGUUAACCAGUUAAAAUUCAUGAGUAAACGAGAUUUUUUUUAUAACUUGAAAAAUUUCGGGGGGGGGGGGUUGAACCCCUACCCCCCCCCCCCUUGCUACAGGCCUGAGUGUGGAUACAACCUCAGUUUCAGGAUUCUAGAGCCAUGGAAUUAAGUGUACAGCAGCGUAUACAAUGAUGGAUCUACUUAGCAAACAAUUGCUUAACACAACAUUCUAUAUGGACCAUAUCUGGGACAAAUAUUAAUUUCCCCAUCACCUGACUCUGACUUCAUUAUUGUAAAUCUUUCCUGGUUUCUCUUUGUGCUGACUUGGCACAUGAUACUCAAAGGGCGAACAAUGCCAAUAUGUCGCAGCACUUGAUAAGAUCUGUACCAAACCGUUGCCUGCUUGGAAGUGAACUUUGCCUCUAUAGCAACGUAUUACAGGUGUGCCUUUUAUUUGCAUAUAGCCUUUUGUACACUGAAGCAAACAAUUGACCUUCAGCACUUUCAGAGUUCUUCUGAAUGUGGGUGUAUCUAAGCCAAGCUUUGCCAAAUGCCUUGCCCUAUUAUUAUACUGUACUUCCCUUGGUCUGCUUUGCCCUUGGAGAUAUAAGCAUCACAUGUUUAUUUGCAAGGUCUUCCAGGUUCCUUUCUUGGCCACGUCUCCUCUCCCUUUGGUUUGUUCCUUAUUUGCCUUCUUUAUUACUAUAUGACUGUGCUUAAGUGAAGAUCUUACGUCAGGGUUCCAUCGACUAUUUGCAUGGGAAGUUAUGCACUAUUUGUAAUAAUCAGUGCAACCUCAAAACCUGCAACUUGUCAGAGAUGGAAACGGGGACAAGUGAGACUAAGGCCCUUUCCACACAGCUGUAUAAAAUCCACAUUGAACUGGAUUAUAUGGCAGUAUGGACUCAGCUGUAUGAGCCCCCGGUGGUGCAGCAGAUUAAACCACUGAGCUGCUGAACUUCUUGACUGAAAGGUCGGUGGUUUGAAUCCGGGGAGCGGCAUGAGCUCCUACUGUUAGUCCCCACUUCUGCCAACCUAGCAGUUCGAAAACAUGCAAAUGUGAGUAGAUCAAUAGGUACCGCUCCGGUGGGAAGGUAACGGCGUUCCAUGCAGUCAUGCUGGCCACAUGAUCUUGGAGGUGUCCAUGGACAAUGCUGGCUCUUGGACUUAGAAAUGGAGAUGAGCAGCACCUCCCAGAGUCAGACUCGACUAGACUAUUAAUGUCAAGACUAUUAAUAUCUGGUAUCUGGUAUCUGCAUUCAUUUAUCCACAUCCAACAAAAGAAGUUCUCUCUGAGCAUUUUCUAAGUUCUCUAGCAUGACUCUAUGCCAGACGUCCAUUUGCUAUUAUCCAUUGUUUUGUGAAUCCAUGCAAAAUUUGGGAAUGUAUUCCCUGUGUUUAUGGGAGUCAUGCUGUAUUGGGGGGAAAAACCCUCCUUUAUCUUUAGGGAAAGUAGUUAUAUUUAAGGAAACAUUUAGCACAAAAGGAUGCUUUUGCCUCUAAUAAACCCAUAUAAUAAAUACAUUCUUCCCCUUCA